rnacentral:rRNA from 1 species
UACAGAGGUCCCAAGCGUUGUUCGGAUUCACUGGGCGUAAAGGGUGCGUAGGCGGUCUUAUAAGUCAGUGCUGAAAUAUCCCGGCUUAACCGGGAGGGUGGCAUUGAUACUGUAGGACUUGAGUAGAGUUGAGGUUGGCGGAAUUGACGGUGUAGCGGUGAAAUGCUUAGAUAUCGUCAAGAACACCGAUAGUGAAGACAGCUAACUAAGCUCUAACUGACGCUGAGGCACGAAAGUGUGGGGGAUCAAACAGG